AACAUGGCGGUCGGCUGGGACCGUACCACUGGCAUGACUAUAUGAAGGAAAAGGAAGGUUUUUCUGAAGAUGAGGCGACUGAAUCGGAGAAAAACCUUAAGUUUGGUGAAAGAGUUAGAUGCCUUUCCCAAGGUUCCUGACAGCUAUGUGGAGACAUCAGCCAGUGGGGGAACAGUUUCUCUAAUAGCAUUUACCACUAUGGCUUUAUUAACAAUAAUGGAAUUCUCAGUGUAUCAAGAUACAUGGAUGAAGUAUGAAUACGAAGUAGACAAGGAUUUUUCUAGCAAGUUGCGAAUCAACAUAGACAUUACCGUUGCCAUGAAGUGUCACUGCACUGUUUGACCUUUCACCACAGCAGAGAGAGUGGCAGAGGAUGCUGCAGUUGAUUCAGAGUAGGCUGCAAGAAGAGCAUUCCCUUCAAGACGUGAUCUUCAAAAGUGCGUUUAAAAGUUCAUCAACUGCACUGCCACCAAGGGAAGAUGAUUCAUCACUGACUCCAGAUGCGUGCAGAAUCCAUGGUCAUCUCUAUGUCAAUAAAGUAGCAGGGAAUUUUCACAUAACUGUGGGCAAGGCAAUCCCACAUCCUCGAGGGCAUGCACAUUUGGCAGCACUUGUCAACCAUGAUUCUUACAACUUUUCUCACAGAAUAGAUCAUUUGUCUUUUGGCGAGCUUGUUCCAGGAAUUAUUAAUCCUUUGGAUGGAACUGAAAAGAUUGCUGUAGAUCUUGUGCCAACAAAGCUACACACAUACAAGAUUUCCGCAGAUACCCAUCAGUUCUCUGUGACAGAAAGGGAACGCAUCAUCAACCAUGCUGCAGGCAGCCACGGCG
rnacentral:lncRNA from 1 species